rnacentral:lncRNA from 1 species
UUCUAAGCCAAAGGAGCUCAUGCUUGCUGGAGCAGACUCUUGGAAGUGAUGUUGGCUGCUUAGAGGUCUCCUUGCUGUACCACGGCAAAUUCUGUCCUGGCUUUUGGUACAAAAAAUAAAGGGAAGAGGAAAGAAUGUGAAGAGGGA